rnacentral:tRNA from 1 species
GAGUGUAUAGUUCAGCAGCAGAGCACAUGCUUAACAUGCAUGAGGUCCUGGGUUCAAUCCCCAGUACUUCCA